rnacentral:rRNA from 1 species
GAUGAACGCUGGCGGCGUGCCUAAUACAUGCAAGUCGAGCGAACAGACGCGGAGUUUGCUCCUCUGACGUUAGCGGAGGACGGGUGUGUAACGCGUGGAUAACCUACCUAUAAGACUGGUAUCAUUUCGGGAAACCGGAGCUAAUCCCGGAUAACCUGCUGAUCCGCAUUGUUGAACAGUGAAAGACGGCUUUUCUGUCACUUAUCGAUGGAUCUGCGUGGCAUUAGCUGGUUGCUAAGUUAACGGGUUACCAAGGGAACGAGGCGUAGCCGACCUGAUAGGGUGGUCGGCCGCACUGGAACGGAGCCGCGCACCAGGGGCCUACGGGAGGCAGCAGAAGGGAAUCUUCCGCAGUGGGCGAAAGCAUGACGGAGCAACGCGGAGCGAGAUAAGAAGAUGUUCGGAUCGUAAUACUCUGUUAUUAGGGAAGAACAAAUGUGGAAGGAACUGUGCAGGUCUUGACGGUAACUGAUAAGAAAGCCACGGCUAACUACGUG